GCGGUUGUAGCUCAGUCGGUUAGCCUACCGGCCUGUCACGCCGGGGGUCGCGGGUUCGAGCCCCGUCAACCGCGCCA
rnacentral:tRNA from 1 species